GGGGCGGCGCGGAGGGGGCGGGGCGUGCGGAGGCCCGGAGGGCGCGUGCAGCGGGAGGUGAGGCUGUCCUAGCGCGGUGCAGCGAGCGCCCCCGGCGCCCCUCUCUGGCAGUCCUCACGCUCCAGCCCCGCGCCCGCCAUGCCCGAGCAGCUCAGCGUCGCCGAGUUCCUGGCCGUCACGGCAGAGGACCUCAGCUCCCCAACCGGGGCCACCGCCUUCGCCGCCAAGAUGCCCCGGUGCCGAGGGGCCGCACUGGCACGGGAGGAGAUCCUGGAAGGAGACCAGGUCAUCCUGCAGAGAAUAAAGAAGGCUGUGCGGGCCAUCAACAGCUCCGGCCUUGGUCAUGUGGAGAAUGAGGAGCAGUACCGAGAGGCCGUGGAGUCCUUAGGCAACAGCCACCUGUCCCAAAACAGUCACGAGCUGUCCACUGGCUUCCUGAACUUGGCUGUGUUCACCCGUGAGGUGGCCGCACUCCUCAAGAACCUGGUGAGGACCUUCCCCAGGCUCAGGGUUCAGAACCUGAACAACAUUGUCUCUUUCCCCCUGGACAGUCUGUUGAAGGGGCAACUGAGGGAUGGGCGACAGGAUUCCAAAAAGCAGCUGGAGAAGGCAUGGAAGGACUACGAAGCCAGAUUGGUCAAGCUGGAGAAGGAGAGGGACCGGGCCAGGGUAACAGGAGGGAGCCCUGGGGAAGUGGCCCAGGACACACAGAGAGAGCGGCGCAUCUUCCAGCUGCACAUGUGUGAGUAUCUGCUGAAAGCUGGGGAGAGCCAGAUGAAGCAAGGUCCUGAUUUCCUGCAGAGCCUCAUCAAGUUCUUCCAUGCCCAGCACAACUUUUUCCAAGAUGGUUGGAAGGCUGCUCAGAGCCUUUCCCCCUUCAUUGAGAAGCUGGCGGCCUCAGUACAUGCACUGCGUCAAGCCCAGGAGGAGGAGCUGCAGAAGCUGACCCAGCUCCGGGACUCCCUCCGGGGGACGCUGCAGCUUGAGAGCAGAGAGGAACAGGAGAAUCUGAGCCGGAAGAACUCAGGAGGUGGCUACAGCAUCCACCAGCACCAGGGCAACAAGCAGUUUGGGACAGAGAAGGUGGGCUUUCUCUAUAAGAAGAGUGAUGGAAUUCGAAGAGUAUGGCAGAAAAGAAAGUGUGGAGUCAAGUAUGGCUGCCUGACCAUUUCACACAGCAUGAUAAACAGGCCCCCAGUCAAGCUGACUCUGCUGACGUGCCAAGUGAGGCCAAACCCUGAGGAGAAAAAGUGCUUCGACCUGGUCACCCACAGCAGGACAUACCACUUCCAGGCGGAGGACGAACAUGAGUGUGAGGCGUGGGUGUCAGUGCUGCAGAACAGCAAGGAUGAAGCCUUGAGCAGUGCCUUCCUCGGGGAGUCCAGCGGCGGCCCGGGGCCCUGGGGGAGCGCUGCGCUGGACGGGGAGCCCCAGGACCUCACGAAGCUGCUCAUCGCCGAAGUGAAGAGCAGGCCCGGGAAUGGCCAGUGCUGUGACUGCAGGGCUGCAGAACCCACGUGGCUGAGCACCAACCUGGGCGUGCUCACCUGCAUCCAGUGCUCGGGCGUCCACCGCGAGCUGGGUGUGCGCUUCUCGCGCAUGCAAUCCCUCACAUUGGACCUGCUCUGUCCCUCCGAGUUGUUGCUGGCCUUAAACAUUGGAAACUCGCGCUUUAAUGAGGUCAUGGAGGCCCAGCUGCCCUCACACGGAGGCCCCAAACCCUCAGCUGAGAGUGACAUGAGCAGCCGCAGAGACUAUAUUGUGGCCAAGUAUGUGGAGCACAGGUUUGCCCGGCAGUCUACGCCUGAGCCGCAGAGGCUCUGGACAGCCAUUUGCAACCGGGACCUCCUGUCAGUGCUAGAGGCCUUCGCAAAUGGGCAUGACUUUGGACAGCUGCUGCCAGGGCCUGAGGGGCAGGCGCCUGGAGAGCUCGCCCUGCACUUGGCUGUCAGAGUCGCCAACCAGGCCUCCCUGCCCCUGGUGGAUUUCAUCAUCCAAAAUGGUGGUCACCUGGAUGCCAAAGCUGCUGACGGGAACAGCGCUGUGCACUGUGCUGCCCUCUACAACCAGCCCGACUGCCUCAAGCUGCUGCUGAAAGGGAGAGCAUCCACUGGCGGAGUGAACGAGGCAGGAGAGACAGCUCUGGACAUAGCCAGGAAGAAAGAGCACAAGGAGUGUGAGGAGCUGUUGGAGCAGGCCCAGUCUGGGACCCUCGUCUUCCCUCUGCACGUGGACUACUCCUGGGGCAUUUCCACAGAACCUGGCUCCGACAGCGAGGAGGACGAGGAGGAAAAGCGCUGCCCUCUGAAGCCCCCAACCCAGGCCCGCUGGGCCAGUGGGAGGAUAGACAUCAGCAACAAGACGUAUGAGACCGUCACCAGCAUGGCACCGGCUGCCUCUCAGAACCCGAGCGAGGAUUGUCCCCCACCCUUGCCUGUCAAAAACCUUUCUCGGACUAUGGUCCAGGGGCGUGCAGGACAUGCCAGUGCAGGCCAAGGAACAGAGAUGUUAAGUAACAGGCCCAAGACCCCACAGCUAAUAAGUCCCCAGGACUCAAACCCAGAUCAUUCUGAAGUCUCCAGCCUGAGCUCAGAGCCCCCUGGGGCCCCUGAGAGCCUGGGAAGUCCAGCCUCCUCCUCCUCCAGCCUCACAAGUCCUGUGGAACCCGGGGGUCCCAGCCAAACCCCACCCAGCUCUGAAGAGGGCUCCUGGGAGCCCCCAGGGCCCUCUCGACCCAGCGUGACAUCUGGAACCACCCCUGUGGAGAUGUAUCCCCCGGUCAGGUUCAGCUCUGAGAGCACUCGCUCCUAUCGGCGGGGGGGCCGGGGCCUGGAAGACUGUCCCCCAGCCAGGCAGCUUCCGCCCAGAAGGAACACGCCGCUCAGGAUGGGUGAUGCAGGGGAGAGCCCAGGACUCAGGGAAUGGCAGAGGGGAGGAGACCCAAGCUCUGGCUGCUCCCCAGGGGAGGGUGAGCAAAGCUGAGUCAGCCGUGCCGGCCACUCGGAGAAGAGAACCACUUCCUUGCAGAUGGGCUGGGAUUCGGGCGGCUGUGUACCAGCCCUUGGUUUGCCUGGCUCUCCCCUUGUGCAGGAGUCUCCUGGAAUCCGCUGAGGCUGGCGGCUCCCAGGCAUAGAGGGAUGUGACAGGGACAAGAUUGGCUUCACUGAAGGGCAGGGCUCAAGGAUUGGAGUUCUCCUAGCAAGUUUUUGCAGGUUUUGCAAAGACUAGCUCCUUGCUGGGCCUUGCAUGUCUGAACUGUCCCCAUGCAGGACCCCAGCAUUCAGAGUUAGGACUUGAGCCCACAAGACUGAGGAGCUGAGAUGUUCAUUCUCUCAGGUCUUGCUCUCCUGCACCUCUGAGGCUCACCUUCCUUCCUACCAUAGGCCCCCACCUUCCUUCCUACCAUAGGCCCCCGACCCUGCCCCUGCCAGGGACACCAGGCCCUUCCAUCUAAGAGCCGAUGGUGGUUCUUUUCCCUCUAUGUCAUUACCUCCGAGAGACCAGGGAACCCUGUGGCUGGAUCUAAGUACUCCAGAGCUAGUUUCAGAUGCAGAAUCCUCAGUCCCUCCUCAGUAAGGGCUGUGUGUCUUCCAUCAGUCUGUGGUCUACAAGAGUAGGACCAGCUCACCUUCAUCAUCCUCCAUGCCUGGCCCAGGGAUUCCACCAGACUAGGGACUGUCUUCUCAGUCAUUCAUUUGACUAGUAUUCCUCUAUUGAGUUCUGAAAAAAGUCCAGAUGGCACAUGAAUAAGGCAAGGGUGUGCAGAUGUGGCCCCUUGCUGGGAAGCUAAUCCAGGAAGCUGGGCUUGGGAAUGGGCAGGGCUAGAUUCCAGGGGAUGGUCCUGGGCUCAGGGGCAGACUGACAAUCAGCUAGUUUACACCUGUUUGAAAUUGCAGUUGUCUACAGCCCUCAUCCAUUCUGACUGGUCAAUGCCCAUGCUAUACGUAGCUGUUAAGUCAAUCUUCUGAAUAUCACUCCUUUUGAGGGACAGCACAGUUUUCCCAGAAACCUCUUGUAUAUUUCCUAGCCAAGAAAUAAAGUAAGGCUCACCCCCAUUUGCCUACUCUCCUUGAUUGAGCAGGAAGGAAAGGAAUGGUCUGGGAUGAUGGAUCUUCACUGCUCUCCUCUUUCUCUUGGUCAACUCAGGAGCUUUCCAGCCUCAGGGGAGGAAAGGGCCAUGAAAGGAGAAAGGAGAGUGGUAGAAAUGGAAGGGCAGACAUGCAGGAUCUGCUUCUCAGUGUCAGAAAUUCCACCAUGGCUUUCAGCCCCAUCUUUGAAAACAGACACACCAUCGCCCAUGACCAGCCUCUCACACCUCUAACGGUCACUGCAUGCUGGCCCUGGCAGGGACAGGACAGGCCAAAAGGGAGGCCAGAGGGUGCCAGUGGCCCACACAGCAGUCUGGCUUGGGGAGCUGGGCCAUUCACCCUGGAGACCAGACUGAUCUGUGAUCCCACAGGAACACGGUUGUCUUUGGAAUCCCCCAAGGUUUGGUUUUGUUCAUCUCAGAUUUGUUACUUCACUCAUCUCUAAUAAAAGAUUUUUUUGAGUAAA